ensembl:snRNA U1 U1 spliceosomal RNA
AUACAUACCUGGCAAGGGAAAUACCGUGACCACAAACGUUUUCCCAGGGAGAGGCUUAUGCAUUGCACUCUGAAUGUGCUGACCCCUGAGGUGUCCCCAAAGGUGGGAAACUCAACUGCACAAUUUGUGGUAGUGGGAGACUGCAUUCCUGCUUUCUCUGC